UGAUGAAUGUGCUAUUUCUGCUCUUAUCAAUGUUUGCUGUGUUACGUAGUUGCAUUAUUUAUUCUUAUUUAUAUUAACUAAUUGUAUACCUAGAGAUUGAUCAGUUGAAGCUGGAAGUGGUGCUGAUCGAUUAGUGUUGGCAAAGUUACUGCCCGAGGUACGUCUUUUCUGGGAUCCAAACAUCUUCCGAUCCGAAGUACUAAAAUGAAGCUUCUACUGAUAUUACUGAUUGCCGUGGCUUGCAUUGUGUCGCAAGUGUCCACCCUUCCGUACCGCACAACUUCGAUCAUAGAACUGGAUGAUCCGGUUGUUCGGAACUACCGAGUGAAAAGGCAAAACGAUUUCGACACUAUUGAUCGUUAUCUAUAUAACUCAUAUGGUCAAUCAAAGGGGUCAGCAUUGCCUGAAUCGACACCGGAAAAUUCUAAUGAGGAUUAGUAUAAGGCAGUAUAUGCUUCUAAAUCAAACUGAAAGUUAUUCGAGAUAGCCGAGGAAUAUGAAUGAAUCAAUUUAUGUGAAAUAAAAAAUAAUUACAUGUUUAGAUGA